UACAGAGGGGGCUAGCGUUGUUCGGAAUCACUGGGCGUAAAGGGCGCGUAGGCGGCCGAUCAAGUCGGGGGUGAAAGCCUGUGGCUCAACCACAGAAUUGCCUUCGAUACUGUUUGGCUUGAGACCGGAAGAGGUAAGUGGAACUGCGAGUGUAGAGGUGAAAUUCGUAGAUAUUCGGAAGAACACCAGUGGCGAAGGCGGCUCACUGGCCCGGUACUGACGCUGAGAUACGAAAGCGUGGGGAGCAAACAGG
rnacentral:rRNA from 1 species